UUAUCUGAACUUGCAGCGUGCCGAAAGCUGAUCAGGCGCUUUUCCCUGGAGAGUCACUGGAACACAUAUGCGACGCACCAUGGAGGACACGGCUGUGCAGCUGCUUCAGAAGGAUAAGGAGGCGUGUUCCUGUCAGACUGUCCGGCAUCAGCGUCAGUGACGACAGCGACCUGUCUUCCCCUAAGACUUUGGGCACGAAGACGCAGCUCUUCGAAAACCGUUAUCUGCACCUGCUUAACAAAGGACGACCGCGGAAGCACAGCAUUUUCGGGAAACGCAAAGACAGCGCUUCGAACUGGGAUAAUUUUCUCCGCGGAGACAGACACCAAAGGCCGGUCGCCAAGCAUACCCUUCACAGCGUAACGGAGAACAAAGAGCCUAAGGACAGCCAUCUGAAAGUACCAGGAAGUUGUUUCGGUGAUGACCGCAUCAAGCAUUUCAUCGACGAAGAAGAAGACGAAUGCAAUUCCAAGAUAUGAC